GACGAACGCUGGCGGCGUGCUUAACACAUGCAAGUCGAACGGCAAGGCCCUGCUUUUGUUGGGUGCUCGAGUGGCGAACGUGUGAGUAACACGUGAGUCUCCUGCCCUUUACUUUGUGAUAACUUCAGGCAACUGCGGCUAAUACCUGCUAGCAGCUCCUGCUGCAUGGUGGGGGUUGGACAUUUUCGGCGGUUGUGGAUGGACUCCCGGGUUAUCAGCUUGUUGGUGGGGUAGUGGCUUACCCAGGCUUUGAAGGGUAGCCGGCCUGGGAGGGUGACCGGGGACAUGGGGACUGAGAGACGGCCCAGAGGCGAACGGGAGGCAGAAGGGGGGAAUAUUGCACAGUGGGCGGAAGCCUGAUGAAGCAACGCCGCGUGCGGGAUGACGGCCUGCGGGGUAUAAACCGCUUUCGCCUGUGACGAAGCGUGAGUGACGGUAAUGGGUAAAGAAGCACCGGCUAACUACGUG
rnacentral:rRNA from 1 species